rnacentral:tRNA from 1 species
GGAGGGGUAGCUCAGUGGUUUGAGCAUUGGUCUGCAAAACCCAGGGUUGUGAGUUCAA